UGACGUGAUGGUGGCACAUCAAAGCUGGCCCUUCCCACUUAAAUCUGAGGAAAUAGAAUCUCUCAGAACUUAUCUCUGAAGAUAACUGGCAACCAUAUCAAUUACUGGAGCCAAAAUAAUGUAUAGGAACUUGACUGUCUAUCAGUUGUACCCCAGAAGCCAGCCAGGUGGAAAUACAGAGAAACAGCUUCCCCCUCUUUCCCUCUGCAUUACACUGUUCCUCAUGACACCCUGAGCUCUU
rnacentral:lncRNA from 1 species